GAAAAGUUAAGUUCAGAGAUAGAUUUCCUGUUGACAAGUUUGUGAUUUUUGUCAAACAUCUUAAGGCAAUUAUCCUCCAUUGUCAUGACAAAUCCUUUAUGCAGCAGGUGGCCUAAACUCAACAGGUUUGUCUUUGCCAUCUUUGCCUCUAAAAAAUAACUCUGCAAUGCCUUUUGCGAUGAGACUGCUCUAAUAAUCACAAGACCAACUCUUCUCUGUGAUAAAUCAUUCAAACUAAUGAACCAUUCCUCUUUUCUUGUCAUAUAAGUAGAACAGCCAGGACCUAAGUAAAAUGAAGUGUCAAUUGAGGAUUUAAUGUUAGUGGUUACCAUGAGCAUCACAACUUUAGAAUCUGAUUCUUCAUCUUGAGCCAAAUUCGCACGGUUGAUAGGCUUGUUCUUGGCACCUUCUCCAUAUGAUACUCUUUUUCCUAAUGACCAAGUUUUUAACAGUUAUGCUCACUUUUCUCUUGUCAAAUUUAUACUCCUUACUAUUGUUAGAGUUGUUGUCUUGCUUUUGUGAUUGAUAAUUUUUAUUUCCUUUAAAAGAAUCACUAGUUUCACUAGAUGUGUGAUCUUGUUGUUCUGGUUAAAACUUGAUUUGUUUCCUACCCAGGAUCCUUUGCCUUUUCCCUUGUAAUUUGAUCGUGCUUGAAGUUUCAGUUCUUGAGUAGAUAUUCUCUCAUUGAUUCUGUUCUGAUAUCAUAUUCCUCAAUGGAGUAUUGCAGUUUGUUCAAUCUCCACAGCAUCUAACUCCUCUGACUUCUCGGUUGCAAUAUCUAUAUGAUCAAAUUAUGAUGGCAAAGUCGUCAAUAAAUAUAGCACUUGCUGAUAUCAAAUCUGCUCCUUGCAGACCCUCGUAGCAUUGAUCCGUUCUUGAACCAUGUUAAUGUAAUCUACAAUGGAUUCUUUCUUCUCCAUGCUUAGCAGUUCAUAAUGCCUUCUUAAUGUAUGCACCUUAACCUUACUCUUUUUUUUUUCUCUAUCACCUUAUGUUGUUGUUAGAAUCUGCUGUGCUUUCUUUGAGGUAGAACCUUGGAAAUCUUCUGGAAUAUCUUUGAAUUGAUACAUUGGUAAAUGAGCAUGCAUUGAUAUCAAGUUUUUGUUGUUGUCUGAAC
rnacentral:lncRNA from 1 species